ensembl:lncRNA
GCUACUAUUAUAUGUUGAAGAGAAAUGAUGCAUUUACCAAAAAUAUGACUCAGAGACACAAAAUUCACUACCUCUACUAGAUCUUCCAUCUCAAGAAUAAGCCUGAUUACAUUGACCUGGUCCUUGAUAACUCCUCACUGAACUGAGAAAGCCCUCAACCAGGUAUCUGCCCAGUCUUCUUUCUCUUUUCAGUCCAGCUCUCUGAUCAAAAUCAAGUUCAGCAUCUGUGAAAUUGACCUCAAGUGUGAAAUCAUUUUUUAAUGAUAAAGUGCCAAAAGUGUUCUCAACAAUAGAUGGUGAGUGGUUGCUGCUCAGCUGGCAGGUGACUGUGUUUUGAAAGCUUUGGAAGACUGUUUCCAGCUGAUUGGCUAUUUUCACCAUUGGCUUGCUGACUUGCUCCUCCCAAUCUCAGAAACCCAGGUCAGUGUGCAUGUGAGAGAGGAAAAUCUUCCUUUAUCUGAGGAAGAGGCCAAGACCACCAGCAUCAGGUGGGUACCAGUCACCUUUUCUCUGAGAUGUCUCUUCACCUUCUCUGGAGUUCCAAGAAGACCUAACAUCAAAACAUCUGAUGAGGUUAGCCCUGUUCAGACUGAAGAAGACAUCAUUUUCAGCAGGUAAGAGACAUACCUGCCAGAGGAAUCCUGCAGGAAGGGUAUAAAAAGGAUAAAAUUCCAUGCUGAGCAGUGUCCUACAGCCUAGGGACUCUCAACCCCAGCUGAGCAUCAGAACCACCUGGAGAGCUUUGUCAAAAUAUUGAGACUGCAGCCAGCCUGCAACUCAGUCUGAAAAGGACCAGACAGCUAUUGUAGCUGUUGUUAUUCCCAAGUUCUACAAAUGUGUGGAAUUGCACAGCCAGAGUUGAGACCGCUAUAGUUACUUCCAGCACAUCAUUUUACGUAAUGUACAUAAUAAUCUGCUGAUGUAUUCCCUGUUGGAAUAAUGAGAAAACAGGCUCAGAGGGCUCCAGACUGUCACUGUGUUAACAGAUAGCAAGUGGUAGAACUGGGAUUGUUACCCAAAUCUGCUUUGUCCACCUAUGUCAAAGGAUGAAAUGUGUUAAGGGGUAUGUGAGCACAGGGUCUAUAUUUGUGUGUUAAAGGGAGACAACACUAAGUUAAGAGUCCUCUACUUCACUUUUCCUGGCUUUGGAAUCCAGCUCUGAGGGUAUUUUUUUUCUCCCUUUGUCAAUUAAAUAGCCGAGAGAAAAACAAGGUAAAUUUCUCCCUUUCAACCUAAUUCAGGUUGAAUGAGAAUAGGAACAGAACUGAUUUUAUGUCAUAGAACCAAUAUAUGAUUGUGUUUUUAAAUAUUUAGGAAUAACACUUUUCCCUCUUUUUCACUGACAUUUAGGUAAGAAUUCAUUAAAGGAAGUUGAGAAGAAAAAAAAACUAGGAACUAACAGUCAAUCAGAAGUUACAACUCAGAUUAUGUAUGAACUUGACUAACAUAAGAUCAACUAAUUCAGCUUUAUUAUCAUUCUUGACUAGUUAAUCCUAGUUAACUUAGUCACUAAAGUAGAUAAGUCUUAUAAAUGGAUUCAGAAAAUUAUUUUUUUAAUUUCAUUAGUGGGUGAAAUCAUUAAUUUAUAUCAAUAGGAUAAUAAGCCUCUUUUAAUUUAUCUGCAAAGAAAUAAAUUAAAUUAAUAAACUGAGUGUUCCCA